UGACAAAACCUAGUUCGAUCAACAAACCUACGCCUGUUAGGUCAGCUGCUUCCGUAGAUAACGCCUAUUUUACCAGAUGCUACCGAAAUAAAGCAAGAGGAUGUACCUCGAAUCCAACCUCAACCAUCACCACCAAUAGACAUGCUCAAUUUAAACCAGCCCCAACCCCAGCUGCCGGUGCAAGAUCCACAAGCCACAACGAGUGUCGCUAGUUUCGAUUUGCUUGGAGCAUUCGGGGAUGAUAAUUCAUCUGGCAUUGGCUCGGCUCCAAUACCUGAUAUUUUAGAAAUUAAUGUACAACCAAGUUCAAAUGUCAACCUUGAUGAUAUCUUCGGCUCAGUUGCUUCAUCGGCGCCGAAAAUCAACCUGGAGUUUAAUAGUUUUUCUGUAAACCAGCCGACACCAACUAGUGCAAACCAACCUGGUGUAUUGGUGUGUGUCACGUCAGUCUCAGCAAAAUAGUCUUGCAUCAACAACCAGAGCUCAGUACGUCAUAGUUAUUUUUCUUCUCUGUUUUUGGAAGCUAGUGCAAUGAGUAUAUUAUAUACAUAUAUUUGCAGUAUAUUAUAUUUUCAUUGAUCCGCUUAGUUAAGUUUAACUAUAACGUAGCAAAAUGAUGUGUAAAACCAAGUAAUUGCUUUUAAAUCUAAGUAAAAAAAUAUACAUUUUAAAUGACAAUUAUUAAAAAGAUACAUGCAUACAUAUAUACGUUAAGAACAUAAAUAUAUAUAGGAUAUAAAAUUAAUCUCUUUGUCAACUUAAUUGCGGCCCUGAAAAGGGCCUCUUGUUGAUUGGUAUAUAUGUAUUUAUCUAAGCAUAAAAUUUUAAUCUCUUUGUUAAUUAAUUGGCGGCCCUGAAAAGGGCCUUUGUAUAAAUCAUAUUACUUGCCUGCAAAUAAAUAAGUUUAUAUUUGUAUAAAAGACGCUUGAUGAUAUUUUAAAACUAGGGACUUACGUAGCAUGCAAGUAUUUUAAUUUUAGGAGUCUGAAAUACUGAGAUCAGUGCGUGUGAAAUGCGGACAUUGAUUCAUGCUGCAAGUAAAGAACGGUUAAUUUCUACAAAUUUAAAAACGCUUUAGUUCAAAACAUACCACAUGUUUGGUAUUUUAUGCAAUACUUACGGUUCUAUAAUGGUACCAUAUGGAUCGAUCUAGGUCAGAGUUUUUUUGGCUUUUCUUUUUCUUUUGUGGGCAUUUUCAACGAGUUCUUUAUUUAAUUUUCGUAUUUUGAAGAACAUUCUUGCCCUGAAAAAUAAUUUUUUUACUUUAAUGUCGCAUUGAAUUGUUGCAGCAUGCUCAAUGUGAGUUUUUACAAAAUCAUUUGUAAUGAGCAAGCCAUCUUCGUUCAAUGCCUUAAAGACUGACUCAAGACUUCGCAUAUGGACCAUCAUAGAGGAGCUUGGUAGGGAUAACCCACCCUCAUUAAGGUGAUCCGCCCAGGAGAAUGAAUGGUCGUCAUUGCUCCUGAACGACGUGCUGGGAAUGUCAUCCUGCAGCUUGUGGCAAAUAUAUCCCGCUAAAUGCUCGAGUCCGUCUAGCUCCAAAUCCUCGAAUUCCGCUUCUUCAACCGGCCACAGUUCUGCAUUAGAGCUUAAGUUUUUCAGCAAAAUACCUGUAAAUAUGGUGAAAUAUAUAUGUGCGAUUAUUAAUAAAAUAUAUUUUUAUAUUUAAGCCGAA